GACGAACCGUGCGAACGUUAUUCGGAAUCACUGGGCUUAAAGCGCGUGUAGGCGGAUGGGAACGUCGGUCGUUGAAAUCCCCCGGCUUAACCGGGGAACGGGCGCCGAUACGACCCGUCUGGAGGAACGUAGGGGGAGCUGGAACUUCCGGUGGAGCGGUGAAAUGCGUAGAGAGUACGGAAAGACCACCAAUGGCGAAGGCACUCUACUGGGCCAUUACUGACACUGAGAGACGAAAGCUAGGGGAGCAAAUGGG
rnacentral:rRNA from 1 species